rnacentral:rRNA from 1 species
CCUACGGGAGGCAGCAGUGGGGGAUAUUGCACAAUGGGGGGAACCCUGAUGCAGCGACGCCGCGUGGGUGAAGAAGCGCCUCGGCGCGUAAAGCCCUGUCAGCAGGGAAGAAAAUGACGGUACCUGAAGAAGAAGCACCGGCUAACUACGUGCCAGCAGCCGCGGUAAUACGUAGGGGGCAAGCGAUAUCCGGAUUUACUGGGGGUAAAGGGGGCGCAGGCGGCGGUGCAAGCCAGGAGUGAAAGCCCGGGGCCCAACCCCGGGACUGCUCUUGGUACUGCGUGGCUGGAGGGCAGGAGGGGCAGGCGGAAUUCCUGGUGUAGCGGUGAAAUGCGUAGAUAUCAGGAGGAACACCGGUGGCGAAGGCGGCCUGCUGGACUGCAACUGACGUUGAGGCCCGAAAGCGUGGGGAGCAAACAGGAUUAGAUACCCUUGUAGUC